rnacentral:RNase_P_RNA from 1 species
AUUGUAGAUCGGAUGAUCGCCCCGCUUUUGACAAACCAGUGCCAAACGGGUGCGCCAAGGGCGGGGAGGAAAGUCCGGGCUCCAUAAGCAGCGUGAUGGGUAACACCCAUCUUCUUCCGGGCGGUGUCUUUUCCGGCACGGUCCCGAAGAAAGGAUUAGAGCAACAGAGACGAGUCCCUUCCUAGCCAUGUCAAUAGACAUGGCGAAGUAGGGGGUGAAACGGGCAAUCUCCACGCGGAGCAAGGUUAAAUAGGGAAAGAAUCCUUGAAGAGGGGAUACGAGAGCUUACUCGUCAGAUUUCCGGGUAAACCGCUGGAUCUUGCCAGCAAUGGCAAGGCAAGAUGAAUGAUCAUCACCCGCCAUUAAUUUGGAGGGGACAGAACCCGGCUUACAGAUCUACAAUAGAC